UACGGAGGGGGCUAGCGUUGUUCGGAAUGACUGGGCGUAAAGCGCGCAUAGGCGGGCUGGAAAGUCAGGGGUGAAAUCCCGGGGCUCAACCCUGGAAUUGCCUUUGAGACUCCCAGCCUUGAGUUCGAGAGAGGUGAGUGGAAUUCCGAGUGUAGAGGUGAAAUUCGUAGAUAUUCGGAGGAACACCAGUGGCGAAGGCGGCUCACUGGCUCGACACUGACGCUGAGGUGCGAAAGCGUGGGGAGCAAACAGG
rnacentral:rRNA from 1 species